rnacentral:rRNA from 1 species
UACGUAGGUGGCAAGCGUUGUCCGGAAUUAUUGGGCGUAAAGCGCGCGCAGGCGGUUCUUUAAGUCUGAUGUGAAAGCCCACGGCUCAACCGUGGAGGGUCAUUGGAAACUGGAGAACUUGAGUACAGAAGGGGAAAGCGGAAUUCCACGUGUAGCGGUGAAAUGCGUAGAGAUGUGGAGGAACACCAGUGGCGAAGGCGGCUUUCUGGGCCUUACCUGACGCUGAGGAACGAAAGCUAGGGGAGCGAACGGG